GCUUAACACAUGCAAGUCGAGGGGCAGCAUUUCAGUUUGCUUGCAAACUGGAGAUGGCGACCGGCGCACGGGUGAGUAACACGUAUCCAACCUGCCGAUAACUCGGGGAUAGCCUUUCGAAAGAAAGAUUAAUACCCGAUGGUAUAAUCAGACCGCAUGGUCUUGUUAUUAAAGAAUUUCGGUUAUCGAUGGGGAUGCGUUCCAUUAGGCAGUUGGUGAGGUAACGGCUCACCAAACCUUCGAUGGAUAGGGGUUCUGAGAGGAAGGUCCCCCACAUUGGAACUGAGACACGGUCCAAACUCCUACGGGAGGCAGCAGUGAGGAAUAUUGGUCAAUGGGCGCAGGCCUGAACCAGCCAAGUAGCGUGAAGGAUGACUGCCCUAUGGGUUGUAAACUUCUUUUAUAUGGGAAUAAAGUUUUCCACGUGUGGAAUUUUGUAUGUACCAUAUGAAUAAGGAUCGGCUAACUCCGUGCCAGCAGCCGCGGUAAUACGGAGGAUCCGAGCGUUAUCCGGAUUUAUUGGGUUUAAAGGGAGCGUAGGUGGACAGUUAAGUCAGUUGUGAAAGUUUGCGGCUCAACCGUAAAAUUGCAGUUGAUACUGGCUGUCUUGAGUACAGUAGAGGUGGGCGGAAUUCGUGGUGUAGCGGUGAAAUGCUUAGAUAUCACGAAGAACUCCGAUUGCGAAGGCAGCUCACUGGACUGCAACUGACACUGAUGCUCGAAAGUGUGGGUAUCAAACAGGAUUAGAUACCCUGGUAGUCCACACAGUAAACGAUGAAUACUCGCUGUUUGCGAUAUACAGUAAGCGGCCAAGCGAAAGCAUUAAGUAUUCCACCUGGGGAGUACGCCGGCAACGGUGAAACUCAAAGGAAUUGACGGGGGCCCGCACAAGCGGAGGAACAUGUGGUUUAAUUCGAUGAUACGCGAGGAACCUUACCCGGGCUUAAAUUGCAUUUGAAUAUAUUGGAAACAGUAUAGCCGUAAGGCAAAUGUGAAGGUGCUGCAUGGUUGUCGUCAGCUCGUGCCGUGAGGUGUCGGCUUAAGUGCCAUAACGAGCGCAACCCUUAUCUUUAGUUACUAACAGGUCAUGCUGAGGACUCUAGAGAGACUGCCGUCGUAAGAUGUGAGGAAGGUGGGGAUGACGUCAAAUCAGCACGGCCCUUACGUCCGGGGCUACACACGUGUUACAAUGGGGGGUACAGAAGGCAGCUACCUGGUGACAGGAUGCUAAUCCCAAAAGCCUCUCUCAGUUCGGAUCGAAGUCUGCAACCCGACUUCGUGAAGCUGGAUUCGCUAGUAAUCGCGCAUCAGCCAUGGCGCGGUGAAUACGUUCCCGGGCCUUGUACACACCGCCCGUCAAGCCAUGAAAGCCGGGGGUACCUGAAGUACGUAACCGCAAGGAGCGUCCUAGGGUAAAACUGGUAAUUGGGGCUAA
rnacentral:rRNA from 1 species